rnacentral:rRNA from 1 species
AUGUCGGCUCUUGAUCAUGACCUGUAUGUACCUGUCUCCAGACUCCGGAGAAAUGAGGAUAAAUAUUGGUUUCUUUCAGUUACAACUUUUUUCUACAAGGCCACCAUGCUAAACAUCACCAACCGAUGCUCCUACACCGUGUGGCCGGCCGCCGUGCCCAUCGGCGGUGGCGUGCAGCUCGACCCGGGGAAGUCAUGGACCCUCAACGUAUCCGGCCUCACCUCCAGAGGACGCCUGUGGGCGCGCACGGGCUGCUCAUUCGACGGCAGAGGCGACGGUUCAUGCCAGACGGGUGACUGCGGCGGCACGCUCGCCUGCACGGACUAUGGCCAACCGCCGGUCACGCUAGCCGAGUUCACGACUGGCCGAGGCCAGACGGACGAUUUCUUCGAUAUCUCCCUCGUCAACGGCUUCAACGUGCCCAUGGAUUUUCUGCCGGUGCCAACAAAGGGAGGGCCAGGGUGUAGCAAGGGGCCGCGCUGCGAAGCCAACAUAACGUCGCGGUGCCCAACUGAGCUGCAGGCUCCGGGAGGCUGCAACAACGCGUGCAUCGGGAAUGGGACGAGCAACUGCGAACCCACCACCUACACCGUCUUCUUCAAGCAGAUGUGCCCGGAUGCCUAUACCGACUACAACGACUUCACUUGCCCGACGGGAACCAACUACCAGGUCAUCUUCUGUCCCCCGUUCAAUCUAACAAUUGAACCGGCACCCGCGAGCUCUCUGCCUGCACCUAGUAGGCCAUCAAGCAAGAGACUGAAAUCCUCCAUCCUAAGAAGCCAUGUUGUGAUUAUUAUAGCUCCUGUGGGUGGUUUCGUUUUGCUCGCGGUAUUGGUUACAAUCAUUUUCUUCACAUGUAAAUGUAACCAAAGGGCACAACGGCACCAGGAGAUGGAGGAAGAGGAAGAGUUUGGCGAGCUACAAGGAGCACUAGUGAGAUUCACAUUUCAACAACUAGAGGUAGCAACUUGGCAAUUCGCAGACAAGCUUGGGGAAGGAGGAUUUGGGUCUGUUUUCAAGGGGCAAUUUGGUGAAGAAAGAAUCGCAGUGAAACGUUUGGAUCGAGCUGGCCAGGGGAAGAUGCAAUUUUUAGCAGAGAUUCAAACAAUCAGCAGCAUCCACCACAUCAACCUGGUGAGAUUGAUCGGUUUCUGUGCAGAGAAAUCUCAUAGGCUCUUGGUAUACGAGUAUAUGCCCAAGAGAUCCUUGGAUAGGUGGAUUUAUAGUCGCCAUGACAAUAAUGCUCCUCCUCUGGAUUGGAGCACGCGAUGCAAGAUUAUUACUCACAUAGCUAAGGGUCUCUCUUAUCUUCAUGAAGAGUGCACAAAAAGAAUUGCUCAUUUGGAUGUCAAACCACAAAACAUCCUCUUAGAUGAUAACUACAAUGCAAAACUUUCUGAUUUUGGACUAUGCAAGCUCAUUGAUAGAGAUAUUAGCCAAGUGAUUACUCGAAUGAGAGGCACACUCGGAUAUUUAGCUCCUGAAUGGUUGACAUCACAAAUCACAGAAAAGGCUGAUGUCUAUAGCUUUGGUGUUGUGGUCAUGGAAAUCAUUUGUGCAAGAAAGAACCUUGACAUCUCUCAAUCUGAAGAGAACAUCCAUCUUAUUACACUAGUGGAAGAAAAAGUGAAGAGUGGUCGGUUGGUAGAUUUGAUUGACAAGAGCAGUACCGACAUGCAAGCACACAGGCAAGAUGUAAUUGAGAUGAUGAAGCUCGCGAUGUGGUGUUUACAGAUUGAGUGCAGAAAAAGGCCUAAUAUGUCUCAUGUUGUAAAAUUAUUGGAAGGCGGUGACAUGAAAGCAAACACCAACAUAAGUAAUAACAUUGUUGCAAUAAGUCCAACAAAGUUUGGUAUGGCUGGAAAUCUGAGCUACUCAGAUUCGCCUCAAGCCUCAGAUCUAUCAGGCCCAAGCCAAUCAUGCGUCAAUGAUGAUAUGAUUUGGCCGGUCAGUGCUAUCUACGCCUGUAGUAGUGGGAGUCCCCAAGUGUAA